rnacentral:rRNA from 1 species
CGUGCGGAAGGAUCAUUGUCGAAACCUCCAGUAGAAUGACUUGUGAACUUGUACUAAUACAAAACUCUAGUGUUGGGGCCAUCUUUUGGGUUUGACCUCGACGAACAAAAACACCGGCGCAGCAGCGCCAAGGAAUUUCACAAUGAGAAUGCUACCUUGCAUUGGUCGUUUCUAGUGCUUGUGUGGGUGGCUCUUCUUUUUAAUAGAAAAUGACUCUCGGCAAUGGAUAUCUCGGCUCUUGCAUCGAUGAAGAACGUAGCGAAAUGCGAUACUUGGUGUGAAUUGCAGAAUCCCGUGAACCAUCGAUUCUUUGAACGCAAGUUGCGCCUAAAGCCUUAGGUUGAGGGCACGUUUGCUUGGGUGUCAUGCACUAUGUCUUCCCUCUCAUGUUUUGGAGUGGGAGUGGAUCAUGGCCUCCUGGGCCCAUCCUCGGGUGUGGUUGGCUGAAAAUCUUGUUCUUGAUGCUGCUAGGUGUCUUGGCGUGCGGUGGAUGUACUAAGUGGGCAUAAUGGCGCGCUUUGCACGGCUUUAUCUUGGCGAUUAGACCCUAUGAAGUCGAUGAAGUUGGCUCUUUGAUUGCGACCCCAAGUCAGG